rnacentral:rRNA from 1 species
GUCUUUUAGAGUUUUAUAAAAAGUUUAACCUGCCCAUUGAAUUUAUUAAAAGGCUGCGGUAUUUUGACCGUACAAAGGUAGCAUAAUCAUUAGUUUUUUAAUUGAAAACUCGUAUGAAUGGUUGAAUGAGAUACUAGCUGUUUUAAUUAAAAUAUAGAAUUUUACUUUUUAAUUAAAAGGUUAAAAUAAAAUUAAAAGACGAGAAGACCCUAUAGAUUUUUAUAUUUAAUAUAGUAUUAAAUUUUUAGUUUAUUAGUUUUAUUAUUUUUUUAAGUAUUUUGUUGGGGUGACAAUAAAAUUUAAUUAACUUUUAUUUUUUUUUAACAUUAAUAUAUGAAUUUUUGAUCCAUUAAUAAUGAUUAUAAGAUUAAAUUACCUUAGGGAUAACAGCGUAAUUUUUUUUUAAGUUCUUAUUAGUAAAAAAGUUUGCGACCUCGAUGUUGGAUUAAGAUUAAUUUUAGGUGUAGCAGUUUAAAAUUUAAGUCUGUUCGACUUUUAAAUUCUU